rnacentral:rRNA from 1 species
UACGUAGGGUGCGAGCGUUAAUCGGAAUUACUGGGCGUAAAGCGUGCGCAGGCGGUUUUGUAAGCCAGAUGUGAAAUCCCCGGGCUUAACCUGGGAAUGGCAUUUGGGACUGCAAGGCUUGAGUGCGGCAGAGGAGACUGGAAUUCCCGGUGUAGCAGUGAAAUGCGUAGAUAUGCGGAGGAACACCGAUGGCGAAGGCAAUCCCCUGGACCUGUACUGACGCUCAUGCACGAAAGCGUGGGGAGCAAACAGG